rnacentral:lncRNA from 1 species
GUCCGCGGUCACGUGAAGGUGUCGCGGCGGCUACGCCCACCUGGACCCAGUUUACCCUGUACUGUGCUGCAAAAUAUUACUUUCUCCCCAUCUGGAAUUCUUCCCUUCCUCCUUCCUGCCGCAGUGGUGUACUGAGCACUUUCACAAAGAACAAAAUUUUAAAUAAAUUAAAAACGACACCUGUAAUUUGAGAAGAUGCUUGAUAUCAGAAGAGGAGAAGAGUGGAGAGGGGUGGAGUGGCAAAGGAGAGCCUCCAAACCAAAAGCCUGCGGCAGAGGCCCUAGGAGGCAAGCACUUAACCAUGUUUCAGGACUAGAAACGAAACAUGUGACAAGACCUUUAAAAACAAAUAGAAUGGGAUGGAAUAAAGUUGGAUGAGUAAGCAGGCAUCAAAUCAUUCAGAAACUUGUUGUCCAAGUUGAAGAAUUUGUUUAGUAUUGUAUAAUAAAUGCAGAGGAAGCUAUAUACACUUAUAAUUUACAUUUUUUAAAGGCCACGUUGUAGCUCAAUCGGAUAGUUUGUCUUUUGAUGGGAUGUAGUAUACAGUAUCAUCAUGGUAUAUUCCAGGCAAAAAUAUUUAACUUGAAUCUGUCAAGCCUUUGCAUCUAACACAGUUUAUAAAAAAUACAACAGAUAGAUGAACAAACUAAAUGAUGCCAGAGGAAGUAACUAGACAGAUCCAGAAGGUGAAACAUUCUGCAGGAUAACUGGCCCAUCUCUUCAACAAUUUGUCAUGAUAAAAGCAACUGCUUUAUGAAAAGAAAUUUAAGGGACAUAACAGUUUGAAUUGGAUCCUGGUUUGAACAGACUGUCUAUAAAAUGCAUUUUCAGGACCAUUAAAGAAAUAUGAAUGUAGAUGGACUGAGUAUUGGAUAAAAUAGAACUGUAUUGCCAUGGAAAAGAUCAUUAACUGAAAAGAGCAAGUCACGAAAUAGUAUGUUACAGCAUCUCAUUUUGGUUUAAAAAUGCACAUAUAUGUAUUUAUGUACAACUAAAAAAAUAGUGGGCUUAUACCCUAAGGUGUUAGUAUUGGUAAUCUUUGGAAGUGGAAAUGUGUAUUUUUUUCUUUGUGUUUGCCUAUCUUUUUCAUUGUAACUUUUGCAGCACAUAGACUACUUUCAUUAUAGUAAAAGUUUAUUUUACCACAAUUUUUUUUUUUUUAGAAAGAGUCUCACUCUGUCACCCAGGCUGGAGUGCAGUGGCACAAUCUCAGCCCACUGCAACCUCCACCUCCCAGGUUCAAGCUAUUCUCCUGCCUCAGCCUUCUGAGUAGCUGGGACUACAGGUGCACACCACAUGCCUGGCUAAUUUUUGUAUUUUUAAUAGAGACUGGAUUUCGCGAUGUUGGCCCGGCUGGUCUCGAACUCCUGGCCUCAAGUGAUCCACCCGCUUUAGCCUCCCAAAGUGCUGGGAUUACAGGCGUGAGCCACUGCACCCGGCCUAUUUUACCACAAUUUAUAAAAAUUUUUGUUUAUUUUAAUUAAGCUAUUCUAUGUUAAAAUAAGUAGCCACCCUUGGCUGAUGCAUAAAGAAAAAAUUAGAGGAAGGAAAGAAUGGAGGCAAGGAGGCAAAUCAUGAGACCAUUUCAGAAAUCAAGACGAAAUCAGGAAAGCUAACAUUAGCAAGAGUGAACCAAACUGAUAAUAUCUUUGAGUUUAAAACUGAAGAAUUUACCAAUGAACUGCAUAGGAAAGUAAAGAAAAGAGAGUGGUCAAGAUAGGUCCUGGUUUUGGGGCCUGAACAUCUGAGUGGUUAGUAGAAUCAUUACCAGUUGAUAACCCAUGGAAGAGGGUGGGGGAUGGGUGGUGUCUUGUAGGUUGGUUGACAGGACUGACCCAUUGGGAAGAUAACGAAGAAGCAAAGUAUAUGAAAAGAGGAGAAAGGGUAACCAGAGGAGGGAGGAUACAAAGGGAGUGAUUAGCCAUCAGAAAGAUGAGGGACAUGACAUUUGUUGAGGCAGAUGGCGGAGAAAAGAAAGUUAACAUAGAUGUGGUUAGUUUUGUGGCAUUGACCAAAGGAAGAUUAAGGUGAUACUAUCUGAUGGCUUGGAAUGAAAACCAAACUCCCUGCCACAACAUGAUGAUCUUUCUCUGCAACUUCAUAUUUUGCCUCUUGUUCCUCAUUUGUUACCACUGAGUCACAAUGGUCUUUUUAGUUUCUCAAACACACCAAGAUCUUUCUUGCCUCAUGUGACCUAGAAUGUUUUCUCCCUUUCUUCAUAUCUCAGUUGAAAGGUCUCCUCUCCUCAUCAUCAUACUAUCUAAAGUAGAUUCCCUCCCUUGUUAACCUCUAGCGCAGCCAUUAGUUCCUUCAUAACACUUACCCUAACUUGCAAGUAUUUUGUUUGUUGAUAUAAUUUUUAUCUGACUUCCCCACUAAAAUGUAAGCUCCAUGAGGGCAAAAAUUGUGUGUUUUGUAUACUGAUGCAUCUCUAGCACUUGGUAUAGCAGGCAUUCAAUAAAUAUCAUUAAAUAAGUUUCACCCUUGUAAAAAAAAAAAAUAUAUAUAUAUAAAAUAUAUUCUCUACUUCCAAAAUAACACACUUUCACCAACAACAAGCACUCCAGCUAAUUAGGCAAUAGGCCAAUAAGCAAAGAAUUAUGGUAUAUUAGUCAAGAUUGGCUAGCUUAUGUUCUGACAAUAAACAAUUUCAAAAUCUCAGUUUCAAUUUUAAACUCAAAGAUACUAAUAAACAUUUGUUCUUUGCUCACACAAAGUCUAAUAUGGAACAGGCUUAGAGUUGUCCUCCAACCAGUGUCUGAGCAAUCCAGACCACUUUGAUCUUGUAACUCUGCCAUCCCAACAUGAGAUUCCACUUUCACUGCAGAAGAGGAAAUCUGUAGCAUCAUGCAGCAGCUUGUCACUACCUCAGCCCUCCUACUUCCACUUGCAUUUCACUAGCUAGAACCUUUCACAUGGCUCCACCAAACUGCAAUGGGACUGGGAAGGGAGAAUCAGAUAUUAGGGAGCAUUUAUAAUGCCUUCCAAGGGUGUGUUUCACUGCUUCCAAACUUGCUUAUGAUGAUGUUUUUCAUUUAUGUAAUGAAAUGCCAUAUGUUCUUAGUGUGUAUUCUCAGCAUAACGAGUACAUUUGGAGAAUAUUAAGUCAGUGGACUUUCCUUCUUGAAAAUUCCUGGUUCUGGGCCUAUCAUUAACCCCACUGAUUGAACCAGUGGAAAUAGUUGCCUCUUCGAAUGGAGAGAACCCUGCUGAAGGCAGCUUUGAGUUUCAAAAUAGUGUGUUUCAAGUCCACAUGGAGACGAUAGCCUGAAAGUAAGCACUUAUGAUUUUUGGAGGAGUCUUUGUUAUUAAGGAGAAAAGAGGCUUACAGAAGUCAGAUUCAGAAGACUGUAGUAUUUUUACAAUAAAUGAGAGUAAACAGUAUAAGGAUUUGAUGUAAGGGAAGUUCCUGCAGUGCAAGAAAGAAAGUCCUUUUGGUGCUGAGCGGAACAGUCUAAGAGAGAAAAGGUGAAGAACAAAAGGAAAAUGUAAAUGUGGUAUUCACACUUCCCUACUCCACACUCAGGAUAAACCUAGAGUAUGAGGUAGAGGCGGGAAUCUAGAGGGGAGGAAGCAUAGAAUAGGAACACCCAAAUAGACUUGAUGAAACAAAAAACAUCAAGGAUGGCUCCCGUGUCACCUGGGAAGACACACUUCAUGUAAGGAAUGGAAAAAAGGCAAUGGUAAGGGACAGGGGCCCUGGAUUUUUUACAACAUGCGAUAGAGAACUAUUUGUCUCCUUAAUUUAUUUAACUUUAAAAAAUAAUAAUGAAUGAAAGAAAAAUUACCCAUUUUUCAAAUAUGGGUGUGUAAGUUUUUUCCACUUUGUACAAAAAAUUUUAAAGAAACGAAAACUGCUGAACACCUUAUAUUCAGAAUUACUCCCUGUAUAAGCCCAUUCCAAUUCCAUAUACUGCUGAUUAAAUUUCCAUCAGUUGGCAGUUCUCUAAUAUCAGUUUCACUGCUAUUUAACUAACUACUGCCCUUUGCUACCAGUGUCUCUCUUGGAUGAGAGUCACUUUACUUGAAUAAGAUAACUUCUGAGAAUAAAUCUAUGCACUAUUUUGGAAGAAUUGCUCUAUAGAGUAAAAAAUAAUUCUGGAUAAUUGAAAGUUAUCUUGUGAGUAUCUGGACAUUAAGGAUACAUUUCAAGACUCCUGUUUUCACUAAAAUCCAAUAUUUGUUUAAGCACUUCAAGUUAAAGAGGAGCACCUUCCCCUUUCACCCUGACUAUCGUUGUUAAUUCGUUUUUGAAGCUAUAUAAGAACGUUUCUUUAAUCGGUUUUCCCUUAGGCAUACAUUAGCUCUCUGUUCAAGACUUAGUAGCAGAGAGUAGUAAGUAAAUGGUUAUUAGUGGUUCUUCAUAUAAAACACAUUUGAGUUUCUUAGAAGAAAACUAUGCAUAAAGAUUACUUUCAGAUAUCAUGUCUGUAGUUCGUUAAUAGAGAAGUUUCUCUGAACGUGUGGAACACUGUAAUAAGAUAAAUAAAUUUUUAAAAAGAAAAAGUAAGCAUAUAUACAAAA